UUGUUUAAAUUGAUAUAAAUUAAAUUUUUUAUAAAUUCAUCUAUUUAUCAAUUAUUUCUGAUGGUAUUUAAAUUAUGCUGGUUGGUAAAUUGUUUAAAAAAAAAAAGGGGGAAAUGAAAAAUAUAUAUAUUUAAAAAAAAAAAUAAUAAAUAAUACAUUUGAACGGUAUUUCCCGUGGUGAGUUAGUUGGUUGGUCGGUUGGGUGAGUGAAGAGAGCUUUCCCUCCCGGUAGCGCGUGUUAUAGUAAAAGUGGCUGUACGGGAAUUGUUGUAUAUACCACUAAAGAGUGAAAAUCCUUUCGCUGAUAUUAUAUGUUAUUUUAUCAGCAAACAAACACAGUUGUUGUCAGCUUGGUCUCGAUGUGUGUCUCAUUGCGAGUACGUGCGUAUUAUUAUAGUAUAAAGUACACAUACUUAAACUUAUAUACAUUAUAAAUAUAAAAAAAAUAAAAAAAAACAACAA